AACGACUCUCGGCAAUGGAUAUCUCAGCUCUCGCAUUGAUGAAGAAUGUAGCGAAAUGCGAUACUUGGUGUGAAUUGCAGAAUCCCGUGAACCAUCGAGUCUUUGAACGCAAGUUGCGCCCGAAGCCACUAGGCCGAGGGCACACCUGCCUGGGCGUCACGC
rnacentral:rRNA from 1 species